rnacentral:rRNA from 1 species
UACGUAGGGGGCGAGCGUUGUCCGGAUUUACUGGGCGUAAAGAGCGCGUAGGCGGAAAUUUAAGCGUGGCCUGAAAGCCCCCGGCUCAACCGGGGAGUGCGGCUGCGAACUGGGUUUCUUGAGGACGAUAGAGGAGAGUGGAAUUCCUGGUGUAGCGGUGAAAUGCGUAGAUAUCAGGAGGAACACCGGUGGCGAAGGCGGGUCUCUGGGCAACAACUGACGCUGAGGAGCGAAAGCGUGGGGAGCGAACAGG